UACGGAGGGUGCGAGCGUUAUCCGGAUUCACUGGGUUUAAAGGGUGCGUAGGUGGGCAAGUAAGUCAGUGGUGAAAUCUCCGGGCUUAACCCGGAAACUGCCAUUGAUACUAUCUGUCUUGAAUUUCCUGGAGGUAAGCGGAAUAUGUCAUGUAGCGGUGAAAUGCUUAGAUAUGACAUAGAAUACCAAUUGCGAAGGCAGCUUACUACGGGAAUAUUGACACUGAGGCACGAAAGCGUGGGGAUCAAACAGG
rnacentral:rRNA from 1 species